rnacentral:lncRNA from 1 species
UUUUUUUAUUUGUAUUAGCAGUUGUCCUCAUCAGGGAGAAGAAAAGACAGUGACCUGUUAUCCCACCACCAUGGCAUUAAUCAUUAUCAAGUUCAGUAUGCCCAAAUACAAAGAAAUAUCCCUAGAAUGUUCCAGUUAGCAGUCAAUUUUGUCUAUUAAUUUGAAGUUGAGAGUAUAGUUGCUUUUUUCACAAAAUAAAGAUGAAUAAUGCUUUUUUAAAUUUUAAUUUGACCUCUUUAAUAAUAUAUUCACAUAAUUUAAAUUUCAAAAGAUAUAUAAGCAUAUUCAGUAAAAUUCUCUCAUCCAAUCCCAUCCCCAGACACCUACUUCAUCCAAGAAGCACACAGUAUUGUAAUGGAUUAGAAAAAGGAAAGUUUCGACAUUUUCCCCUUGUUGGAGUUUUUUAAAUGCCAUCUAUAUAAGAAACAGAGAGAUUUUGAUAAUCUUUAAAACUGCAAGUACCAUAUCUUUUCCAUAUUGAGCAAAAUAUACUUCAAUUUAGUGGAUGUUUAAAAGUAUUGCUUUCUGGCAUUUGUUUUUAAAAGAAAAGUUAAGAAGUUUUAUAUGAACAUAUUUUGCAGUUCUAAGUUCAAAUUAAUGAAGCAGUUAGAGUGUCAAUUUGUAUCAAUUUUUCUAGGAUUACAUUUUCUUGCUUCAGUGUCAGUGGUUCCUGCAAAUCCUACAGAAUCAAGAAAACGUAUUUCAAACUUUGUAGAAAAUUUGAAAAUCUAAAAUCUAAUUAUAAUCCAAAAUCUAAUUCUAUCCUGAAGAAGAAAUUACUAAUACCAUUGCUUAACCCAUUUGCUAAGGAAGUAAGUGCAUUGAAAAUGAUCUAAAGCAUUUUUUUAAUUUCACGGACAAAUAACUUUGCACCCCACUAUAAAAGAAAUUAGUAAGCUCAGGGAGCCUUCUUAACCUUAAUUAUUUCUUUGGAAAAUAAACUGCACACAUAUAUAGGUCUUGAAUCAGUUUUUCAAGUUAAUCAUUUAAACACAAAUAAGCUAGUUGCACUUUACUCAUUGUGAGAAACAGAACAUUUCCACUGUUCUUUUAAAGAUGUAGCAAGAAAACAACGUGAAAGCAAGGGAAACAUUUUAGCUUCACCUCUCACCAAACACAGCUAGUUCUGAAAGCUAUGACUAUAAUUACAACUAUAAGAACUUUUUCUUCAGCACAGCUUUAUUUUAGAGUAGCCAAAAUUCAUUUGUUCAUUAAAAUUCUUUUUUAAAAAACAGAAAAGUAAUAUUAUAUAUUGGUCACAUGACAUGAUUUCUCCUUUAUCUGCAUACCUCGUUUUUAGAAUUAAUUUUUAGAAAGUGAAAAUUACUAAACACAAAGAAUUUCAAAAAUAGACAUCCACCAAAAUAAAACCCAGCUGUUUUACUAAUACGUGCAUUUUAGAAUGAUAUUAAAACUCAGUUUAAUUACAUUUCUGAAAAAUUAUGUGAAUCUUAUUCUAAAUUCCUUUGAUUCUUGUUUUCUUUUUUUUUUUUUUUUUUUUUUUUUAAGCAUGUCACUUCCCAAGUUAUGGAUACUUGGACAAUCAAGUAUUUAGUUUCGCUCCUCUUCUCUUGUCAUUAUCCACAACAUUUCUUCCUGGAAGAUUUUUUUUAAAAGUCUAAACUUUCUCUGCAUGUUUUCUGGGGCCUCUUGCUUCUUUCACACUCUGGGUGUCAUCAAGUGGCUCCUAUCAGCUGUACCCAAUGGCAAUCCAGAGAGCAAGUUAGCAAGAUGUGGCAGCCCAUGAAGCUCAGGCCAUUUGACGUGCUGUUCAUUGCAGAUGGCAGGGGCAGUUUCCAAUUUUAGCUCAUCCAAAUUAAUUGCCCUUAAGUGGAAACAACUUGAAUACAGCUGACUUCUCCUCAGAAGGAAUGAAGGACAGAAGACAGUGAGGCAAUAUCCUGAUGGUCCUUGAAGAUUUUGCCCAAUCAAACAUGUGGAUGAUGGUGAUGUCACUGGAAUGGAAAGUCAGUCUCUGCACUGUCCUCCAUCCCAAUAUACAGUGUCAGUGGAGAUCAAACAUCCCUGCAAGUAACAAAAUGUUCCUGGAGGGAUGUCAGAGGAGGCCUAGUGGAAAGUCAGUAUUUUUAUCACCACUAAGC